rnacentral:misc_RNA from 1 species
AACAAGGCGUACCUGCGGACCUGCGGAAGGAUCAUUAAUGAAUAUUUCAUCAUAACGAUGAAUCCACCUUGUGUGCACCUGUAUAAUAAAAUGUUUGAAAGGAACGGGCUGGCGCUGGAAAGUGUUUAGUCCGAUUCUUUUCAAAAAAAAAAUUUUCUAUACACACAUUUUUUAAACGUUUUAUAAAAAACAUUUUAAACAAUAAAACAUAACUUUCAACAAUGGAUCUCAGAUCGGAAG